AAACGACUCUCGGCAACGGAUAUCUCGGCUCACGCAUCGAUGAAGAACGUAGCAAAAUGCGAUACUUGGUGUGAAUUGCAGAAUCCCGUGAACCAUCGAGUUUUUGAACGCAAGUUGCGCCCGAAGCCAUUCGGCCGAGGGCACGCCUGCCUGGGCGUCACG
rnacentral:rRNA from 7 species